GAAAAGGGUGGCAGGAGCCCGCACAGUCUUUUAACUGUAGUUCUCUGUUUAACUUUUGUGUCAGUACUCCAAGUUCUAGGUCACAUACAUAGAUACAGUCAAAGAAUCUAAUAAUUUUUGGAACAGAAAGUGAAAGUGAAGAUUCUCCAUUCUAAAUCUCUCUUUUUAUUUGUGAAUUAAGCAAGGUUUAUGAGAUUAAAAACUUGGUUCAAGGUUUCUGGUGGAAAAGUAGGGAAUUGAAUCUAUGUCAAAGCAAAUCAGAAUACAGUACAUACUGGGAUCCUUGAGAUGAUUUAAGUUCCACCCAAAAGCAUCGCUGAGCACAAAGAAGGACAAACAUAAGCCUGGAUGUGUCUUCAUGGACCACUUCCAUCCUGAGGUCCUCUAUGCAAAAUUCUUCCUUUACGUAUUUCUAUACCAAUUAUGGAGCCAUAUCACAAAAUUGACCCAGAGUCAUGUUUCUUGAUGACCUCUCUUCAUGUUAUCUACUGGUUAUUUCUGGAAAGCUGUUGCUGUAAAAUCACAGAAAUUGAAAUUUAAUAAUUCUUCUCUAAGCCUUUUUGGGCAUUUAAGGGCAAAUAAACAAGAAGCUAUUGUGUGUUGUAAGACCCUCCAACGUAAGCCCUCUCUACGAGUUGCAGAGUAAAGGACUGCAUGAAUAGGAGAAGAAAUUAGAAGCUCUUAGAUAUUGUCUUCCAGUAAGACAUGACAUGCUUUCUUAUACUACACAGUAUUUAUAUUAUUGCACAAACAUUAACUGGCUCUUAAGAUAAGAGAGGAUAUUUAUUUUAUUGUGGGAGAAGUGGAGUUUUCAUUGUUGUUGUUGGCUUUUGUAUUGUUUUGUUUUGGUUUUGUUCCUCAUAUUGCCCAAGGGAUUUAAAUAAAGCUACUUGGGAAAUUAUUUAUUAAAAGAUAGCUAAGUGACAUGAUGCUUUAGCAAAAAUCUCUGUUUGGCUUUUUAAAUUUUAAUUACGUCUUCAAGCAUGUGGAUAUAACUUCAAUUACUGUCCUUGGUGUCAUCUAUAUUCUUACCAAGAGUUGAAAGAAACAGUACUUGUGAUAUUCUUCUGUAGUUUAAUGUUGCAAGUUUUACUCAUGAUUCAUUUUGGCUAAUGUCAGUAUGCCCAAAUAAAAAACUUUUUACCCAUAAACACAAAUAAA
rnacentral:lncRNA from 10 species